rnacentral:rRNA from 1 species
UACAGAGGGGGCAAGCGUUGUUCGGAAUUACUGGGCGUAAAGGGCGCGUAGGCGGCCUUCUAAGUCGAACGUGAAAUCCCUGGGCUCAACCCAGGAACUGCGUCCGAUACUGGGAGGCUUGAAUCCGGGAGAGGGAUGCGGAAUUCCAGGUGUAGCGGUGAAAUGCGUAGAUAUCUGGAGGAACACCGAUGGCGAAGGCGACAUCCUGGACCGGCAUUGACGCUGAGGCGCGAAAGCGUGGGGAGCAAACAGG